AAGCGCUUGUGACCAGACUUGCGCCGGGCUGAUCAUCUAGGGGUUCCCCUGGUGCACUCGGCCCGGUUCAGGCCAGCAUCGGUUUCUGCAGGGGGAUAAAAGCGCCGGGAACGUAGCUCCUCCGGGAGUGUUAUAGCCCGACGCAUAAUACCCUUGCGGGGACCGAGGUCUGCGCCCUUGCGAGGAUGCUGGCGUAAUGGUCAUCAGC
rnacentral:rRNA from 1 species